UACGAAGGGGGCUAGCGUUGCUCGGAAUCACUGGGCGUAAAGCGCACGUAGGCGGAUCUUUAAGUCAGGGGUGAAAUCCCAAGGCUCAACCGGGGAACUGCGUCUGAUACUGGAUGGCUUGAGUUUGGGAGAGGGAUGCGGAAUUCCAGGUGUAGUGGUGGAAUGCGUAGAGAUCCGGAGGAACACCAGUGGCGAAGGCGGCUCCCUGGGCUCAUACUGACGUUGAGGCGCGAAAGCGUGGGUAGCAAACAGG
rnacentral:rRNA from 1 species